rnacentral:rRNA from 1 species
UGGGGAAUAUUGGACAAUGGGCGCAAGCCUGAUCCAGCCAUGCCGCGUGAGUGAUGAAGGCCCUAGGGUUGUAAAGCUCUUUCACCGGUGAAGAUAAUGACGGUAACCGGAGAAGAAGCCCCGGCUAACUUCGUGCCAGCAGCCGCGGUAAUACGAAGGGGGCUAGCGUUGUUCGGAUUUACUGGGCGUAAAGCGCACGUAGGCGGACUUUUAAGUCAGGGGUGAAAUCCCGGGGCUCAACCCCGGAACUGCCUUUGAUACUGGAAGUCUUGAGUAUGGUAGAGGUGAGUGGAAUUCCGAGUGUAGAGGUGAAAUUCGUAGAUAUUCGGAGGAACACCGGUGGCGAAGGCGGCUCACUGGACCAUUACUGACGCUGAGGUGCGAAAGCGUGGGGAGCAAACAGG